rnacentral:tRNA from 1 species
CGGGAAGUGGCUCAGUUUGGUAGAGCACCUGGUUUGAGAUCAGGGGUCGCAGGUUCGAAUCCUGUCUUCCCGA